CUGAUGAAAGUCUGAAGUCUGUUUUGGAUGGAUACUGCAGGCAGGUUAGAAAAAGGUGCCUCUACACUGGAAUAUCUUGCUCAGUAUUAAUGAAGACUGCAGACAGAAGAUGAGUGCAUAUGGCAGUGGUGUUCGUGUAUUUUUUCCAUUCGUGUGAACAUGGACACCUUGUGUCACCGAGGAUGUUCGAACCAUCUAAUGAAGAGGAAUUGUUCCUGUCGACUUGCAUUAGCCCACACGCUGUAAAAUGCAAGCUGUGAAAUCCAUCAUAUUGCGGGAGGUGUAUGCACGCAUCAUUAAAGUGUUGAAAAAUGUGUGAAGAGGAGGCUGUAAUGACUCACUAAUGACCUUGACCGACAACUUUAGCAAAGGGGGCUCUUGUCUGCUGCUACCUGGGAAGCAAGAGGAGUGUCAACAUGAUUAACUGCAAAAUACUGCCAAGGACAUGAGUGAGGAAAGAACAGAAUUAUCAAGAACCUAUUAAAGCACUCCGUGUUCAUCCAUGACGACUUCUUUUUUUUUUUCUUCUUGUCAGCCUCAAAACAAGGACAAAUCCUUUGUUUGCUGUGUUAUAUGCUUCAUCCAUCCUCAAGGUUUCCUGUUGUCUGGCUUGAAAAAAUAAAAUCUCAAACCGGCA